AUUUUUUCGACGUAAGAAGAGUCAAAAUAUCGGCCCUGUGAAGACUAACAGCUGGUAACGGCACGCCUCCGUGUCGGAGAAAGCCUAUAAAAGGCGGGGGACAUCCAGUCACCGUACGACUGGUAUUCUAACAAGGACCCAUCAGACACCAUGAAUACUCUUACCUGCUUGGUUCUGGCAGCAUGCGUGGCCCUCGCGGUCAGCGAACCUUGCACCGAUGCUGACUCAUGCACGGACACGACUUGUAAUACAGGAAAGAAAGAAUGUGUCGCAAUACAUGGUCAGCACCUGUGCACGUGCGUUCACCAAAACGAACACAACGUCGCCUGUACCGCCGUCGGCGACUGCUCCUCUGAUAAGAUAAGCUGUAGCCAACACGGUCCUAACACACCGGUACACUGUGUGGACAGCUUUUGUAGGUGUGAGGGGCACGGUCACAACCAUGGCAACCAUCAUCCUCCUGGGGGACACCAACCAGCCGCCGCAGGACAACACCACAACAACUAAGG